GGAAAGGGAGGGAGGGAGGGAGGGAGGAAGGAGAGAGGGGAAAAGAACCAAAUCCAAAAGACCCAGAUGUGGGCAUAUCUGGUACAGAUCUGACUCCAAGGUCUAAGGGCUGAGGUCCCCACAAAGGGACCCCUCUCACACCCAGCUAGGAACGGUGCCCGCUCUCCAGAAUAAUCACGUCCGCUACAGCAGAUAAGCGAAUCAAAGGACUGAAAAGCUCAUAAAUAAGGUUAGGCAACCAUCCGUAAGCCCCAUAUUACCAAUAUCUGCAUGAUUUCUAGGUAUCUUCAGUCCUUCAAGACGAAAUCAUGUAAGAUUCCCAGCAAUAACAUUUCGCAUUUAGUAAACUUGCACGGAAUGUGGGCUUGCUAGGAGAAUAUGGCUGGAACUCACAAAAUCUGUGAAAUUAAGGAUAAAGUCCUGUCGACAAAUAAGAAUCUAGUAACCAGCACCUUCCCCUUCGAAACAGUCAGAAGUGCAACUCUUACUACCCUGCUCAGGGUAACAAUGGAAACUCAUAAUGAUGAUGUAGAAAGACCUUGUAACAAUAGAAAGGCUAUGAGAAUCAUUAAGUUUUAAAUCUAAAGCUUCUUAUUAUUAAACAGCAUUUAUUCUCGUUCUCAUAAUUCAAAUAUGUACACAGGUGUUCCACGACUUAAAAAAAUGUAUAAACCGCAAUCCACUAUAGAAUAUAUUGUCCCGAGAAACAAUAUUGUAAAUGGUAAUUCACAUCACAGCUCCGAGUACAAAAGGCCAACAUGAUCCAUAAUGUCGAUGAAGUAACUACAAACGCCAUCCCUACCAUUGUUCUAGUUCUAGCAGACUGCACAAGAGCACUCCAGCUCAGAGAUACCAGUACUAUAAUCUCACAGCUGCGUACAGGAUGGAUUGGGCACUGGUGGGCUAGUCUCAACACUCACUAUUGGAAACAAUCCCCCCCCCUUUGGAAACACCAGUUCUGAACUGAUCCAAACCAACCCACGAACAAAUCCUGAGGAAGAUCCACGUGGCACCCUGUGAGGUUCCCGUCCACCGGAAGCCUAUUCUCUGGCCUCGCUGUAAUGAAGUUUGGGAUUGAGACGUCACCCCAAAAAGCAGCACAGAUUCCCUUAGAGGGAGAGGAGUGAUUUUUAAAUAGCAUGUCAAUGAUUUCAGAUAUAGGAGAACUUCCAAAAACGGUCUCUUCGGUAGUUUUAAACAGUCACUGAUGUUUUCUGUUUACACGAUUAUAUAAUCUAACAAGCCUUCCGAACAUCCCCCAAAGGUAGGCCUCAGCCAACUAUUACCAAAUUAUCACAGAAUUUAAAAUGAGUGAGGCCAAAGUUAAUAAAGGUCAAUUCUGCGUUACCAAGUUCAUAGUGCCAGGACGCAAUCCACUGAGCCACACCAGCCAGGAUAAACGCCUAUUCUAAGCUUUCUGACAGUUACUAAGGAAUAAAAACAGUUCCUGUGUUCGAACCGUGCAAUCACGUGGUAGGGAGAUACAUUAAUGCCAAACUACCUCCCACGAUGAAAAUAUAACUUAGCAAGCUAGAAAGGUGAUCCGUUAUCGUUUUUAACCUUUCCGUGGGAGUCCUCUGGCUACAG